rnacentral:rRNA from 1 species
GACGAACGCUGGCGGCGUGCCUAAUACAUGCAAGUUGAGCGAUGAAGAUUGGUGCUUGCACCAAUUUGAAGAGCAGCGAACGGGUGAGUAACGCGUGGGGAAUCUGCCUUUGAGCGGGGGACAACAUUUGGAAACGAAUGCUAAUACCGCAUAACAACUUUAAACAUAAGUUUUAAGUUUGAAAGAUGCAAUUGCAUCACUCAAAGAUGAUCCCGCGUUGUAUUAGCUAGUUGGUGAGGUAAAGGCUCACCAAGGCGAUGAUACAUAGCCGACCUGAGAGGGUUAUCGGCCACAUUGGGAAUGAGACACGGCCCAAACUCCUACGGGAGGCAGCAGUAGGGAAUCUUCGGCAAUGGACGAAAGUCUGACCGAGCAACGCCGCGUGAGUGAAGAAGGUUUUCGGAUCGUAAAACUCUGUUGGUAGAGAAGAACGUUGGUGAGAGUGGAAAGCUCAUCAAGUGACGGUAACUACACAGAAAGGGACGGCUAACUACGUG